GCCCGCUCGGCUCAGUGGUAGAGCGUGUCACUAGUAAUGACAAAGUCAUCAUUUCAAUUCUGGCAGUGGGCA
rnacentral:tRNA from 1 species